UAACACUUUGUGUUAUAUGUUUUUGGAUAUUGAUUUAUUCAGUUAUACGUACACUAGUCGCAAUAUGUAUUAAUUUGUAAUCACACGAGAGAAACGUAAAACAGACUAGAAGGAAGUUUAUAUAUAAGGUUGCUGUCUUUCAAACAUGGAAGAACUAAUGAAAAGACAACCUUACAUUGACAGUUAAAAUAACACGUAAACAGUGUACGAAAAGGACAGCUAUGUCUGACGAACCGGAAGAAACUGAAUACUAUUUGCGUCUUCUGUCUAUGUAUCUGGAUUUGGGUACAGAAACUGUUCUGGAUGUAUUUGAAUAUCAUUCACCAGGAGGAAAUCCUAAGACAUUUCUAAAGUCAAAGGAAGAGACAAUUAUAAAAUUGAAGACCAAACGAAUAUUAAAUAAACAAGAGUCUUAUCUACUUUUGCAAGAGGUUAACGCCGAAGAUAAACAGAAAGUAAAUUAUGUGCUGAGGAGUCUACUGGAUCUUAAAAGAUUUGAUAUAUCAUUGCUAAUAACUCUGUCCAUAAAUCUUUUCACUGAACAACUAUUACCACCUCCGGCUAAAGGAUGGGAUCAACCACCGAAAAACAGUGACAAGUCUAUAGCGGCUGACCUGUUACGCCUCCGGACAACACGAAAUGUUAUUGUCGGUCAUCAUCCAAGAGCACGCUUGCCAAAGUGGCGAUUUGACGAGGAGUGGGAAAAAGUAUCAGAAAUAUUAAUAAGAAUACAGCAACAACUGCCUCUGAACAAGGAAGCCCGCAUGAAAGAAAGAGUCGAGGCAUACCGUUUUCAGAGACUAGACCCAACUGUUAAGAACAUGAAUGAUGCGAAAAUAAGGGAAUGGCAUGAAGACGUUUCGAAAGUGCAGGCACAGGUAGAAGACUUGAUCAAGAAAAUUGAAGGUUUUGAUGCUUACUUUGAAAAAAAGUGUGACCGAUAUGAAAAGUAUAUAGCGUUACUGGUCAGAGGCGGUGGCUUCGUGCUAUCAGCUUUACUCGGUAAGGAAAUUAAGAAGCAAGGAAGAGACUUACGGAGCAUACUUGAUGACUCGAAAGACACCCUUGAAGGAAUUAUAACUGAUUCAAGACAACUAGAAGUUCUUUAUCCGUCUACGUUGGAUAGUAAACAGUCAGACCCGUCUACUUGGGACGUUCCUUUAUUAGAAACUGUUACCCUUCAACUCUUUGGCAACAGUAUUGAGCCUGUAGCAAGAGAUGCAAUAGAAACUCUCGGCGAUGCUUGUCGGAAUUAUGCAGACACAGCGUUCAUUGCACUAGAUGGGAACAGAUUUGAAGAUUAUUCGACUGACCUUAAAGCAAGUAUACGAAUAAUCUCUAACUACAUUGACAAAGAGCAGUCAAAUAAGUGUAAACAGAUAUUGGAUGAAUGCAAGGAAAACUUAUCCAAUGGAUCGUUUAAAACUUACAUGGAUGAGUUGAAAACACAAAGCUUUCUACUGAAAUCCUUCACGGAUAUUUCUAAAGAAACGCUUCAGCAAACAAAGGACUGUCUUCAAGAGAUGAUAACAAACGGGAUAAGUUUCAAAAAAAGUCAUGAACUGGAACUGAAAAUGAUCACUCUCGGGAAUGAUUAUCAGAAGACGGAAUUAGCAGAGGAAAUACUGACAAUAGUCUGGCAUGAAGCGUUAGACAGAUCCAAUGAGGCAACAGAAUUUCCAGAAGUAAAAAAAGAAGUGUUGAAGAUAUUAGAAGAAAUCAAAAAGGGGAAAAACAUUGAAAGUAUUUCAAUUAAAAAGGCAUGUAUAAUAAUGCAGAUAUCAUGUACAUCACCAAGUGAUAUGCUGGCUGUAAUCAACUAUUUCGGAAGUGAUGAAUUGUACGAAGCACUUCGAAACAUAGCGCAGGAGCUCGGUUACUACUUCAACACAGCUUUUACAGUUUUCUCAGUGAUACCAAUCGAUUCCCUGUGGGGCAUAUCAAAUCGCCAGAGUGAUCCCGCACAAACAGAAGAAUUCGGCAUCCGUCUUCCGAUAUCCGUUACCUCACCGGCUGAUAUGCUGCAGCUGAGAUCGUUGAUCAGCAGCGAAAAGAUAAUCAAUAGUACAAAUUCUAUUGCGGACGCUUUAUCGAAACACCUAGCUGGAAAAAUAACCGUAAAAGCUGAGACGGAUAUGAAGGAAUUAAAGAAUGUUUUAGAUGCAGAAAUGACAAACUCAGACAGCAGCAGCAGCAACAGCAGCAGCAUCAACUGCAGUAGCAGUAGCAACAGGCAACACUAUCGUUCAGAUACUGACUGCAAAGCAGAUUUAAGCCAGCUUGACAAGUGUGUUACUUCCCAAGAAUGCCGAGAACAAAUAAGUCGUGAAGAUAUGUACGAAGACUUAAACAAACAGCAUAUGCCUGACGGAAAUUAUGAGAUUACAUUGAAUUGCUAGUACUUAACAUCUUGUGUCAAGGAAACUUUGCAGAAGAAUAAAAAGAGGCAACCAGCUUUGUAGGUCAGAUAUAAACCAAAAACAGAGGUCCAAAGUGAAACGGCAUAUUCAAAGAUCGAAGCUGCCCAUACAGGACUUAGUACGGAAAUAGAGGUAAUGAGGCAUUUACCAUGUAGACUACAGGAACAUUCCUACAAUAUA
rnacentral:misc_RNA from 1 species